UCUAGCAACACUGUUGUGCCGAAAACAACUCACAGGAUUAGUCGACAUUCGCGACAUUCAUGCGCGAACUGUCAAACGAACCUCGAAAAUUUUCACUGUUGUUUUGCACCCUUCGCAACACAUUCACUGUUGUUUUGCACCCUUCGCAACACAUUCGUUACGAGAUUGGAGUGAACUAAAAUUUUAUUUUAACUUUAAAUUGGCCUCAAGAAAAACAAAAUAGGUACCUCCUCAGCUGUACCUUUUUUGUAAGCAAGCAAAAACUGGCGUGCUCCACCAACCCGGUUCCAUCGUGGCAAGUAGCCGUGUGAAAUUUUAUCAAAAUCCUCCCGUACCAGCCGUCGCCGGCAAAAUGCAUAAGAGCAGCAAGCAGUUUACCCGAGCAGCGACUACACAAGACGACGUCACUUGGAAUCAUUACGCGGUGGUAGAUGGGCCUUGUGUUCCAGAGUUGGUCAGCUUCGAGGCAGCCCAAUCCGGAUGGGAGCGAUAAUUAGGUGGCAAGGUACCAGCAGCAACAAAUCCGUUUCAAAUUUCCCGCAUCAAGAUUAGUCCCUCGCGACUGCUGACGUUGUGCCACACUGGCCGUUCGGCCUGCUACCGGCGGAUUCUGCUAAACUUCCGCGAGUCCCAUCGUCCAGUUUCAAGUGCUGGCGGCUUCAAGCCCAACUGGUACAGUUACAUGUUGACAACAAGCUGUCCGAGCUGACUGGUGUGGAUGUCCUCGAACGGAAGCAUCACGAUUCUUCCAGCAUACGAAAUGACACUUCGUUAACAUCUUUUGGAUCAAUGCAUGAAUAUCGAGUCUCUGAGAAAUCAGUCCACCAAAACGCUGACAGCAAUCUGAAUCAUCGAUCAGGACUCAGGCUGCGCGUGGUCACAUGAUCACAUUUUUUUAGCUAGAUUUUCUUAUCGCGUGUGUGGAUCAUCUUCAGAUCAAGUGACACGAAGCACAUGCAAGUUUCAAAUUUGGAAUCCGAUCGCGUUGUUCUGUGUCUGUUCUAACAGAAGCCAAUCAAGGUAACCAAAAUAUUGUGUAAAAUCGUGGCCAAAACAGAAGACAUAAUUCACCCCAUGUAUACCGAUUCAUCCGGUUGCCGGUUUUGAAAAUAGUUAUAAACU